AUUGAACGCUGGCGGCAUGCCUUACACAUGCAAGUCGAACGGCAGCACGGGUGCUUGCACCUGGUGGCGAGUGGCGAACGGGUGAGUAAUACAUCGGAACAUGUCCUGUAGUGGGGGAUAGCCCGGCGAAAGCCGGAUUAAUACCGCAUACGAUCCACGGAUGAAAGCGGGGGACCUUCGGGCCUCGCGCUAUAGGGUUGGCCGAUGGCUGAUUAGCUAGUUGGUGGGGUAAAGGCCUACCAAGGCGACGAUCAGUAGCUGGUCUGAGAGGACGACCAGCCACACUGGAACUGAGACACGGCCCAGACUCCUACGGGAGGCAGCAGUGGGGAAUUUUGGACAAUGGGCGAAAGCCUGAUCCAGCAAUGCCGCGUGUGUGAAGAAGGCCUUCGGGUUGUAAAGCACUUUUGUCCGGAAAGAAAUAAUUGGCUCUAAUACAGGCGGGGGAUGACGGUACCGGAAGAAUAAGCACCGGCUAACUACGUG
rnacentral:rRNA from 1 species